GCACCUACCCCAUCUGAAUUUGCCAUGAACCUGCAUCACAACGUCUUAAAGCCGUCAUGUUGUGAACUGCAGCCCAGAUCCAUCCCGCCACCGCACCAGUCUGAGUGGUGUGCUUUAGUUUUUGAUUUAGUGUUGAUUGACUUGUUUUUUUUUAUGCUAUCAGUCCAGAAAGAAAAAAUGGGAAGGAAGGAAAGCAUAGAAAAAAAAAGGCAAAAAAAAAAGAAAAAAAAAUUUGUUUGCUAUUAGUUUGAGGCCCACACAGGCAACAAGAAAAAAUAUUUGCUUAUCCUAUUGUGAGGUCUUCGGUUUGAAGUUUUUUAAGGCCCACACGGAUAAGCGUUGCGAGUUUGUUUGACCGUCAUUCGAGUACUUAGAAUUGUGACCACUCGAGCGAUAGUAUUUGUGUUUUUUAGUGACGGGUUGCUAUAAUUGAGAUAUGAAAAUCUCGUCCGUUUAGUGACGGGUUCUUUCCAUACUCUCAACACUAGCCAAUUUGAACCAUAAUCAGUUUGCUAGCAAGAAUCAAGAAUCAAGAACCAAU
rnacentral:lncRNA from 1 species